UUAAGCGACUAAGCGUACACGGUGGAUGCCCUGGCAGUCAGAGGCGAUGAAGGACGUGCUAAUCUGCGAUAAGCGCCGGUAAGGUGAUAUGAACCGUUAUAACCGGCGAUUUCCGAAUGGGGAAACCCAGUGUGAUUCGUCACACUAUCAUUAACUGAAUCCAUAGGUUAAUGAGGCGAACCGGGGGAACUGAAACAUCUAAGUACCCCGAGGAAAAGAAAUCAACCGAGAUUCCCCCAGUAGCGGCGAGCGAACGGGGAGGAGCCCAGAGCCUGAAUCAGCAUGUGUGUUAGUGGAAGCGUCUGGAAAGGCGCGCGAUACAGGGUGACAGCCCCGUACACAAAAGCGCAUGUGCUGUGAGCUCGAUGAGUAGGGCGGGACACGUGGUAUCCUGUCUGAAUAUGGGGGGACCAUCCUCCAAGGCUAAAUACUCCUGACUGACCGAUAGUGAACCAGUACCGUGAGGGAAAGGCGAAAAGAACCCCGGCGAGGGGAGUGAAAAAGAACCUGAAACCGUGUACGUACAAGCAGUGGGAGCUGAGGGAAAGGCGAAAAGAACCCCGGCGAGGGGAGUGAAAAAGAACCUGAAACCGUGUACGUACAAGCAGUGGGAGCCCCACCACUAAGCCAGUGGUGAACUCCACAUACGCAUCCUUUGCUGAGGAUACGGUUAACGGAGCGCAAGCGACGUUCAACCGCAAAAGAAGCAGAGGGGGCUUAGUGGUGGGGUGACUGCGUACCUUUUGUAUAAUGGGUCAGCGACUUAUAUUCUGUAGCAAGGUUAACCGUAUAGGGGAGCCGGAGGGAAACCGAGUCUUAAUUGGGCGUUAAGUUGCAGGGUAUAGACCCGAAACCCGGUGAUCUAGCCAUGGGCAGGUUNAGGGAAACCGAGUCUUAAUUGGGCGUUAAGUUGCAGGGUAUAGACCCGAAACCCGGUGAUCUAGCCAUGGGCAGGUUGAAGGUUGGGUAACACUAACUGGAGGACCGAACCGACUAAUGUUGAAAAAUUAGCGGAUGACCUGUGGCUGGGGGUGAAAGGCCAAUCAAACCGGGAGAUAGCUGGUUCUCCCCGAAAGCUAUUUAGGUAGCGCCUCGUGAAUUCAUCUCCGGGGGUAGAGCACUGUUUCGGCUAGGGGGCCAUCCCGGCUUACCAACCCGAUGCAAACUGCGAAUACCGGAGAAUGUUAUCACGGGAGACACACGGCGGGUGCUAACGUCCGUCGUGAAGAGGGAAACAACCCAGACCGCCAGCUAAGGUCCCAAAGUCAUGGUUAAGUGGGAAACGAUGUGGGAAGGCCCAGACAGCCAGGAUGUUGGCUUAGAAGCAGCCAUCAUUUAAAGAAAGCGUAAUAGCUCACUGGUCGAGUCGGCCUGCGCGGAAGAUGUAACGGGGCUAAACCAUGCACCGAAGCUGCGGCAGCGAGUAAUAGCUCACUGGUCGAGUCGGCCUGCGCGGAAGAUGUAACGGGGCUAAACCAUGCACCGAAGCUGCGGCAGCGAACGUAUCACUUAAAGCGAUUCAGCGGGUUACGAUUGACGGAGCGAAGCGACGUCAAAGCGUAUACAAAGUCGAGUCGGUUUAAGGAUACGUUCGUUGGGUAGGGGAGCGUUCUGUAAGCCUGUGAAGGUGUGUCGUGAGGCAUGCUGGAGGUAUCAGAAGUGCGAAUGCUGUUGGGUAGGGGAGCGUUCUGUAAGCCUGUGAAGGUGGCCUGUGAGGGUUGCUGGAGGUAUCAGAAGUGCGAAUGCUGACAUAAGUAACGAUAAAGCGGGUGAAAAGCCCGCUCGCCGGAAGACCAAGGGUUCCUGUCCAACGUUAAUCGGGGCAGGGUGAGUCGACCCCUAAGGCGAGGCCGAAAGGCGUAGUCGAUGGGAAACGGGUUAAUAUUCCCGUACUUGGUGUUACUGCGAAGGGGGGACGGAGAAGGCUAUGUUGGCCGGGCGACGGUUGUCCCGGUUUAAGCGUGUAGGUGUGUGUUCCAGGUAAAUCCGGUUCACUUUAACACUGAGGCGUGAUGACGAGGCACUACGGUGCUGAAGCAACAAAUGCCCUGCUUCCAGGAAAAGCCUCUAAGCAUCAGGUAACAUCAAAUCGUACCCCAAACCGACACAGGUGGUCAGGUAGAGAAUACCAAGGCGCUUGAGAGAACUCGGGUGAAGGAACUAGGCAAAAUGGUGCCGUAACUUCGGGAGAAGGCACGCUGACAUGUAGGUGAAGUGAUUUACUCAUGGAGCUGAAGUCAGUCGAAGAUACCAGCUGGCUGCAACUGUUUAUUAAAAACACAGCACUGUGCAAACACGAAAGUGGACGUAUACGGUGUGACGCCUGCCCGGUGCCGGAAGGUUAAUUGAUGGGGUCAGCGCAAGCGAAGCUCCUGAUCGAAGCCCCGGUAAACGGCGGCCGUAACUAUAACGGUCCUAAGGUAGCGAAAUUCCUUGUCGGGUAAGUUCCGACCUGCACGAAUGGCGUAAUGAUGGCCAGGCUGUCUCCACCCGAGACUCAGUGAAAUUGAACUCGCUGUGAAGAUGCAGUGUACCCGCGGCAAGACGGAAAGACCCCGUGAACCUUUACUAUAGCUUGACACUGAACAUUGAGCCUUGAUGUGUAGGAUAGGUGGGAGGCUUUGAAGCGUGGACGCCAGUCUGCAUGGAGCCGGCCUUGAAAUACCACCCUUUAAUGUUUGAUGUUCUAACGUGGACCCGUAAUCCGGGUUGCGGACAGUGUCUGGUGGGUAGUUUGACUGGGGCGGUCUCCUCCUAAAGAGUAACGGAGGAGCACGAAGGUUGGCUAAUCCUGGUCGGACAUCAGGAGGUUAGUGCAAUGGCAUAAGCCAGCUUGACUGCGAGCGUGACGGCGCGAGCAGGUGCGAAAGCAGGUCAUAGUGAUCCGGUGGUUCUGAAUGGAAGGGCCAUCGCUCAACGGAUAAAAGGUACUCCGGGGAUAACAGGCUGAUACCGCCCAAGAGUUCAUAUCGACGGCGGUGUUUGGCACCUCGAUGUCGGCUCAUCACAUCCUGGGGCUGAAGUAGGUCCCAAGGGUAUGGCUGUUCGCCAUUUAAAGUGGUACGCGAGCUGGGUUUAGAACGUCGUGAGACAGUUCGGUCCCUAUCUGCCGUGGGCGCUGGAGAACUGAGGGGGGCUGCUCCUAGUACGAGAGGACCGGAGUGGACGCAUCACUGGUGUUCGGGUUGUCAUGCCAAUGGCACUGCCCGGUAGCUAAAUGCGGAAGAGAUAAGUGCUGAAAGCAUCUAAGCACGAAACUUGCCCCGAGAUGAGUUCUCCCUGAGACUUAAAGUCUCCUGAAGGAACGUUGAAGACGACGACGUUGAUAGGCCGGGUGUGUAAGCGCAGCGAUGCGUUGAGCUAACCGGUACUAAUGAACCGUGAGGCUUAACCUU
rnacentral:rRNA from 1 species